AUUGAACGCUAGCGGCAGGCCUAACACAUGCAAGUCGCACGAGUGGCGGACGGGUGAGUAAUGUCUGGGCAACUGCCCGAUGGAGGGGGAUAACUCCUGGAAACGGUAGCUAAUACCGCAUACCAUCGGAUUUGCCCAGAUGGGAUUAGCUUGUAGGUGGGGUAACGGCUCACCUAGGCAACGAUCCCUAGCUGGUCUGCGAGGAUGAACAGCCACACUGGAACUGAGACACGGUCCAGACGUCAACGGGAGGCAGCAGUGGGGAAUAUUGCACAAUGUGCGCAAGCCUGAUGCAGCCAUGCCGCGUGUAUGAAGAAGGCCUUCGGGUUGUAAAGUACUUUCAGCGGGGAGGCGUUACCCGCAGAAGAAGCACCUGCUAACUCCGUGCCAGCAGCCGCGGUAAUAC
rnacentral:rRNA from 1 species